GCCCCGAUAGCCGAAUGGAUAAGGCGACAGCCUUCUAAGCUGUAGAUUGAAGGUUCGAGUCCUUCUCGGGGUACCA
rnacentral:tRNA from 1 species